rnacentral:lncRNA from 1 species
UUGCAAAUUUGCAGAUUUUUCCCAGAAUGGAACUAACUGGAACUCUUCAUUUUACAGCUAUGGCUCACUGCCCCUCAGGGGGCAGGGGGCUGGUGAUUC